CUUUGGGAUAACCCUCGGAAACGGGGGCUAAUACCGGAUAUGACCUCCUGUCGCAUGGUGGGGGGUGGAAAGUUUUUUCGGCUUGGGAUGGGCUCGCGGCCUAUCAGCUUGUUGGUGGGGUGAUGGCCUACCAAGGCGACGACGGGUAGCCGGCCUGAGAGGGCGACCGGCCACACUGGGACUGAGACACGGCCCAGACUCCUACGGGAGGCAGCAGUGGGGAAUAUUGCACAAUGGGCGGAAGCCUGAUGCAGCGACGCCGCGUGAGGGAUGACGACCUUCGGGUUGUAAACCUCUUUCAGCAGGGACGAAGCGUAAGUGACGGUACCUGCAGAAGAAGCGCCGGCCAACUACGUGCCAGCAGCCGCGGUAAGACGUAGGGCGCGAGCGUUGUCCGGAUUUAUUGGGCGUAAAGAGCUCGUAGGCGGCUUGUCGCGUCGACUGUGAAAACCCGCGGCUCAACUGUGGGCUUGCAGUCGAUACGGGCAGGCUAGAGUUCGGUAGGGGAGACUGGAAUUCCUGGUGUAGCGGUGAAAUGCGCAGAUAUCAGGAGGAACACCGGUGGCGAAGGCGGGUCUCUGGGCCGAUACUGACGCUGAGGAGCGAAAGCGUGGGGAGCGAACAGGAUUAGAUACCCUGGUAGUCCACGCUGUAAACGUUGGGCGC
rnacentral:rRNA from 1 species